rnacentral:rRNA from 1 species
GACGAACCGUGCGAACGUUAUUCGGAAUCACUGGGCUUAAAGGGCGCGUAGGCGGAUUCGUAAGUCAGAGGUGAAAUCCCACGGCCCAACCGUGGAAGUGCCUUUGAUACUGCGGGUCUCGAGGGGGAUAGGGGCGUGCGGAACUCGGGGUGGAGCGGUGAAAUGCGUAGAUAUCCUGAGGAACUCCGGUGGCGAAAGCGGCGCGCUGGAUCCCUUCUGACGCUGAGGCGCGAAAGCCAGGGGAGCAAACGGG